rnacentral:misc_RNA from 1 species
ACAUAUCGAAAUUGUGAAGUACUUGUGCCUAACCAGUUUUGACGGUGUGGAUGGUGGAUAUGUGUUUGUGUCAAACAUUGUUCUUCUAGACACAUUGCCAACAGGCAUGUUUCUAAAAAUAAAUGAUUUUCUCGAGUAUGCUGUAUUACAAAACUUUUAGCACUGUAUGUGCAAGAAGAAAUUAGAACCUUUGUUUGAGAAUGCCUGUAUGUUGAAUUAACUUUGAUAUUUAUUUGUUAUUAAUCUUAUGUUGAUGUAAUCAGACAAGUUGAGCACAUAUGGAUUAAUGAGAAUGUUAAAUGCUUCAUCUUGUUGACCUUCUUGAUUCAAUUAAACUAGAAAUGCUUAACAAAUUUCAUUUUCCAUGCAAUCAUGUUUACUUAUUGUGGUUGUCUACGGUCUACCAUUCACAUUCUAAA